rnacentral:rRNA from 1 species
UACGGAGGAUCCGAGCGUUAUCCGGAUUUAUUGGGUUUAAAGGGUGCGUAGGUGGACUUAUAAGUCAGUGGUGAAAGUUUGCAGCUUAACUGUAAAAUUGCCGUUGAAACUGUUAGUCUUGAGUGCAAAUGAGGUAGGCGGAAUGUGUUGUGUAGCGGUGAAAUGCAUAGAUAUAACACAGAACACCGAUUGCGAAGGCAGCUUACUAGAAUGCCACUGACACUGAUGCACGAAGGCGUGGGGAUCAAACAGG